AUACGGAGGGUGCAAGCGUUAAUGGGAAUUACUGGGCGUAAAGGGCGCGUAGGCGGUCUAUCAAGUCAGGUGAGAAAUCCCACGGCUCAACCGUGGAGGUGCAUCUGAAACUGAUAGACUUGAGUAUGGGAGAGGAAAGUGGAAUUCCCGGUGUAGAGGUGAAAUUCGUAGAUAUCGGGAGGAACACCAGUGGCGAAGGCGACUUUCUGGACCAAUACUGACGCUGAGGCGCGAAAGCGUGGGGAGCAAACAGGAUUAGAAACCCUAGUAGUCC
rnacentral:rRNA from 1 species